rfam:Medicago truncatula strain A17 chromosome 3, whole genome shotgun sequence.
AUAUAAGCAAAAAUCCAUGUUUUAGAUUCAUUCAAUAAAUGAUGUAUGUUGUCUACAAUUAAUAAAGACCACAUACAUCAUUUAUUGAAUGAAUCUAAAACAUUGAUUUUUGCUUAUAU